GGCGGCAUGGCCAAGUGGUCUAAGGCAGCGGUUUGCAAAACCGUUAUUCAUCGGUUCGAAUCCGAUUGCCGCCUCCA
rnacentral:tRNA from 1 species